ACUAUUUUGGCAGAAAAGUGCAGUAAAUUUAGAAUUUAUUUAUAUAGGCUAAUAUUCUAUAUUUAGUA
rnacentral:tRNA from 1 species